rnacentral:rRNA from 1 species
UACGGAAGGCAGCAGGGGGGAAUAUUGCACAAUGGGCGCAAGCCUGAUGCAGCCAUGCCGCGUGUAUGAAGAAGGCCUUCGGGUUGUAAAGUACUUUCAGUCGUGAGGAAGGUGUUAAGGUUAAUAACCUUAGCAAUUGACGUUAGCGACAGAAGAAGCACCGGCUAACUCCGUGCCAGCAGCCGCGGUAAUACGGAGGGUGCGAGCGUUAAUCGGAAUUACUGGGCGUAAAGGGCACGCAGGCGGUUAAUUAAGUUGGAUGUGAAAUCCCCGGGCUUAACCUGGGAAUGGCAUUCAAGACUGGUUAGCUAGAGUCUUGUAGAGGGGGUAGAAUUCCAUGUGUAGCGGUGAAAUGCGUAGAGAUGUGGAGGAAUACCGGUGGCGAAGGCGGGCCCCCUGGACAAAGACUGACGCUCAUGUGCGAAAGCGUGGGGAGCAAACAGGGAUUAGAUACC